rnacentral:rRNA from 1 species
CGCGUAGGCGGUCCUUUAAGUCAGAUGUGAAAGCCCGGGGCUUAACCCCGGAAGUGCAUUUGAAACUAAGGGACUUGAGUAUGGGAGAGGGAAGUGGAAUUCCUGGUGUAGCGGUGAAAUGCGUAGAUAUCAGGAGGAACACCGGUGGCGAAGGCGACUUCCUGGACCAAUACUGACGCUGAGGCGCGAAGGCGUGGGGAGCAAACA